rnacentral:rRNA from 1 species
UACGAAGGGGGGCUAGCGUUGCUCGGAAUCACUGGGCGUAAAGCGCACGUAGGCGGAUCGUUAAGUCGGGGGGUGAAAUCCUGGAGCUCAACUCCAGAACUGCCUUCGAUACUGGCGAUCUCGAGUCCGGAAGAGGUGAGUGGAACUCCUAGUGUAGAGGUGGAAUUCGUAGAUAUUAGGAAGAACACCAGUGGCGAAGGCGGCUCACUGGUCCGGUACUGACGCUGAGGUGCGAAAGCGUGGGGAGCAAACAGG